UACGUAGGUCCCGAGCGUUGUCCGGAUUUAUUGGGCGUAAAGCGAGCGCAGGUGGUUUAUUAAGUCUGGUGUAAAAGGCAGUGGCUCAACCAUUGUAUGCAUUGGAAACUGGUAGACUUGAGUGCAGGAGAGGAGAGUGGAAUUCCAUGUGUAGCGGUGAAAUGCGUAGAUAUAUGGAGGAACACCGGUGGCGAAAGCGACUCUCUGGCCUGUAACUGACACUGAGGCUCGAAAGCGUGGGGAGCAAACAGG
rnacentral:rRNA from 1 species